ACGGGGUGCAGCAGGCGCGAAAACUUUACACUAUGCGGAAGCGUGAUAAGGGGAAUCCAAAGUGCUUAUACAUUAGUAUAGGCUCUUGCCAAGCGUAAAUAACUUGGCGAAUAAGUGGUGGGUAAGACGGGUGCCAGCAGCCGCGGUAACACCCGCGCCACGAGUGGUGAUCAGUAUUAUUGGGCCUAAAGCGUCCGUAUCCUGCCUUGUAAAUUCUUUGUGAAAUCGUUGCGCUCAACGUAACGGCGUGCAAGGAACACUGCAAGGCUAGAAACCAGGAGGGGCAAGAGGUAUUCUGUGGGGAGCGGUAAAAUGCUAUAAUCCACGGAGGACCACCGAUGGCGAAGGCAUCUUGCCAGAAUGGAUUUGACGGUGAGGGACGAAAGCCAGGGGAGCAAACCGGAUUAGAUACCCGAGUAGUCCUGGCUGUAAACUCUGCCAGCAAGGUGUUGCGCUUUCCUCGUGAAAGCGCAGUAUCGAAGAGAAGUCGUUAAGCUGGCCGCCUGGGAAGUAUGGUCGCAAGGCUGAAACUUAAAGGAAUUGGCGGGGGAGCAC
rnacentral:rRNA from 1 species